UACAGAGGCCCCAAGCGUUACUGAGAAUCACUGGGUUUAAAGGGUGCGUAGGUGGCGCGUUAAGUCCGUUGUGAAAUCCCUUGGCUCAACCAAGGAAUGGCUUCGGAUACUGGCGUGCUUGAGGCUGGCUGAUGGUCACUGGAACUGACGGUGGAGCGGUGAAAUGCGUAGAUAUCGUCAGGAACGCCAAUGGUGAAGACAGGUGACUGGGCCAGUUCUGACACUGAGGCACGAAAGCGUGGGGAGCGAACGGG
rnacentral:rRNA from 1 species